AUGUAACCUUUACUUCACUGAGCAUCAAUAAUACUUGACAAAAUUCCCAUGAGCCUGAUUCAAACCUUGGGUCAGGUGCAUUAAAUCACAUGUAACUCUGCUAAGUUACACCAGGGUAAAAAUCUGAGGAAGAUGAAAAAGAGUUGCAGUCCUGUUUGCAAAGCUCUGCAGCACAGAGAAAUUGAGUCACAAUUUGAUCGCCUGAGAGAUUUUGGCAGUACAAGUAUUGCUGUGACAAAGCCAAUCAGCUGCAGUCUGCCUAAAUAUCUGCUGUGAGCAGAAGCACUCAGUUUCUUGGAAUCACCAGAAGAAGAGAAUCAAUUCUAAUCAUUAUAGAUCUUGCUAAUUACAAGCCUAUCAAAUAA